rnacentral:rRNA from 1 species
GAGUUUGAUCAUGGCUCAGGAUGAACGCUAGCGGCAGGCCUAACACAUGCAAGUCGAGGGGCAGCACAAAUUAGUUUACUAAUUGGUGGCGACCGGCGCACGGGUGCGUAACGCGUAUGCAACCUACCCUGUACUGGGGGAUAGCCCGGAGAAAUUCGGAUUAAGACCCCAUAGUAUUACGGAAUCGCAUGGUUCUGUAAUUAAAGGUUACGGUACAGGAUGGGCAUGCGUCCUAUUAGCUAUAUGGUGAGGUAACGGCUCACCAUGGCUACGAUAGGUAGGGGGCCUGAGAGGGUGAUCCCCCACACUGGUACUGAGACACGGACCAGACUCCUACGGGAGGCAGCAGUGAGGAAUAUUGGUCAAUGGGCGAAAGCCUGAACCAGCCAUGCCGCGUGCAGGAAGACGGUCCUAUGGAUUGUAAACUGCUUUUAUUUGGGAAUAAACCUCUGGUCGUGACCGGAGCUGAAGGUACCAAAUGAAUAAGCACCGGCUAACUCCGUGCCAGCAGCCGCGGUAAUACGGAGGGUG